rnacentral:rRNA from 1 species
CAUCGAGACUCCUACGGGAGGCAGCAGUGGGGGAAUAUUGGACAAUGGGGGGAACCCUGAUCCAGCCAUGCCGCGUGUGUGAAGAAGGCCUUAUGGUUGUAAAGCACUUUAAGCGAGGAGGAGGCUCUCUUGGGUUAAUACCCAAGAUGAGUGGACGUUACUCGCAGAAUAAGCACCGGCUAACUCUGUGCCAGCAGCCGCGGUAAUACAGAGGGUGCGAGCGUUAAUCGGAUUUACUGGGCGUAAAGCGUGCGUAGGCGGCUUUUAAGUCGGAUGUGAAAUCCCCCGAGCUUAACUUGGGAAUUGCAUUCGAUACUGGAAGCUAGAGUAUGGGAGAGGAUGGUAGAAUUCCAGGUGUAGCGGUGAAAUGCGUAGAGAUCUGGAGGAAUACCGAUGGCGAAGGCAGCCAUCUGGCCUAAUACUGACGCUGAGGUACGAAAGCAUGGGGAGCAAACAGGAUUAGAUACCCUGGUAG